GCCCAGGUGGUGGAACUGGCAGACACGUACGCUUAAGGGGCGUAUGGGGAAACCCGUGCGGGUUCGAUUCCCGCCCUGGGCA
rnacentral:tRNA from 1 species